AUUGAACGCUGGCGGCAGGCCUAACACAUGCAAGUCGAGCGGAUGAAGGGAGCUUGCUCCUGGAUUCAGCGGCGGACGGGUGAGUAAUGCCUAGGAAUCUGCCUGGUAGUGGGGGAUAACGUCCGGAAACGGGCGCUAAUACCGCAUACGUCCUGUGGGAGCAAUUGGGGGCUCUUCGGACCUCACGCUAUCAGAUGAGCCUAGGUCGGAUUAGCUAGUUGGUGGGGUAAAGGCCUACCAAGGCGACGAUCCGUAACUGGUCUGAGAGGAUGAUCAGUCACACUGGAACUGAGACACGGUCCAGACUCCUACGGGAGGCAGCAGUGGGGAAUAUUGGACAAUGGGCGAAAGCCUAAUCCAGCCAUGCCGCGUGUGUGAAGAAGGUCUUCGGAUUUUAAAGCACUUUAAGUUGGGAGGAAGGGCAGUAAGUUAAUACCUUGCUGUUUUGACGUUACCAACAGAAUAAGCACCGGCUAACUUCGUG
rnacentral:rRNA from 1 species